CAGUAGCCGCGGUAACACGAAGGGGGCUAGCGUUGCUCGGAAUGACUGGGCGUAAAGGGCGCGUAGGCGGCGGCCAAAGUCAGGCGUGAAAUUCCUGGGCUCAACCUGGGGGCUGCGCUUGAUACUUGGUUGCUUGAGUGGGGAAGAGGGUCGUGGAAUUCCCAGUGUAGAGGUGAAAUUCGUAGAUAUUGGGAAGAACACCGGUGGCGAAGGCGGCGACCUGGUCCUUGACUGACGCUGAGGCGCGAAAGCGUGGGGAGCAAACAGGAUUAGAUACCCCAGUAGUCCCUGUCUCUUAUAC
rnacentral:rRNA from 1 species